rnacentral:rRNA from 1 species
AUUGAACGCUGGCGGCAGGCCUAACACAUGCCAGUCGAACGGUAACAGGAAGAAGCUUGCUUCUUUGCUGACGAGUGGCGGACGGGUGAGUAAUGUCUGGGAAACUGCCUGAUGGAGGGGGAUAACUACUGGAAACGGUAGCUAAUACCGCAUAACGUCGCAAGACCAAAGAGGGGGACCUUCGGGCCUCUUGCCAUCGGAUGUGCCCAGAUGGGAUUAGCUAGUAGGUGGGGUAACGGCUCACCUAGGCGACGAUCCCUAGCUGGUCUGAGAGGAUGACCAGCCACACUGGAACUGAGACACGGUCCAGACUCCUACGGGAGGCAGCAGUGGGGAAUAUUGCACAAUGGGCGCAAGCCUGAUGCAGCCAUGCCGCGUGUAUGAAGAAGGCCUUCGGGUUGUAAAGUACUUUCAGCGGGGAGGAAGGGAGUAAAGUUAAUACCUUUGCUCAUUGACGUUACCCGCAGAAGAAGCACCGGCUAACUCCGCG